GGCGCCUUGCGCGCACCGGCGGACGGCUCAGUAACACGUCGGUAACCUACCCUCGGGAGGGGGAUAACCCCGGGAAACUGGGGCUAAUCCCCCAUAGGCCUGAGGUACUGGAAGGUCCUCAGGCCGAAAGGGGCUUCGGCCCGCCCGAGGAUGGGCCGGCGGCCGAUUAGGUAGUUGGUGGGGUAACGGCCCACCAAGCCGAAGAUCGGUACGGGCCAUGAGAGUGGGAGCCCGGAGAUGGACACUGAGACACGGGUCCAGGCCCUACGGGGCGCAGCAGGCGCGAAACCUCCGCAAUGCGGGAAACCGCGACGGGGGGACCCCCAGUGCCGUGGCAUCGCCACGGCUUUUCCGGAGUGUAAAAAGCUCCGGGAAUAAGGGCUGGGCAAGGCCGGUGGCAGCCGCCGCGGUAAUACCGGCGGCCCGAGUGGUGGCCGCUAUUAUUGGGCCUAAAGCGUCCG
rnacentral:rRNA from 1 species